rnacentral:rRNA from 1 species
UACGUAGGGGGCUAGCGUUGUCCGGAAUCAUUGGGCGUAAAGAGCGUGUAGGCGGUCCGGUAAGUCCGCUGUGAAAGCCGGGGGCUCAACCCUCGAAUGCCGGUGGAUACUGUCGGGCUAGAGUGCGGAAGAGGCGAGUGGAAUUCCUGGUGUAGCGGUGAAAUGCGCAGAUAUCAGGAGGAACACCUAUUGCGAAGGCAGCUCGCUGCGACGUAACUGACGCUGAGACGCGAAAGCGUGGGGAGCAAACAGG